GACGAACGCUGGCGGCGUGCCUAAUACAUGCAAGUAGAACGCUGAAGGAGGAGCUUGCUCUUCUGGAUGAGUUGCGAACGGGGGAGUAACGCGUAGGUAACCUGCCUGGUAGCGGGGGAUAACUAUUGGAAACGAUAGCUAAUACCGCAUAACAGAAGAUGUUGCAUGACAUUUGCUUAAAAGGUGCAAUUGCACCACUACCAGAUGGACCUGCGUUGUAUUAACUAGUUGGUGGGGUAACGGCUCACCAAGGCGACGAUACAGAGCCGACCUGAGAGGGGGGACGGGCACACUGGGACUGAGGAACGGCCCCAACUUCUUCGGGAAGCAGCCGUAGGGGAACUUCGGAAAUGGACGGAAAGCUGAACGAGCAACGCCGGGUGAGUGAAGAAGGUUUUCGGAUCGUAAAGCUCUGUUGUAAGAGAAGAAAGAGUGUGAGAGUGGAAAGUUCACGCUGUGACGGUAUCUAAACAGAAAGGGACGGCUAACUACGUG
rnacentral:rRNA from 1 species